UACGUAGGUGGCAAGCGUUGUCCGGAUUUAUUGGGUUUAAAGGGUGCGUAGGCGGCCUAUUAAGUCAGUGCUGAAAUAUCCCGGCUUAACCGGGAGGGUGGCAUUGAUACUGAUGGGCUUGAGUAGAGUCGAGGUAGGCGGAAUUGACGGUGUAGCGGUGAAAUGCUUAGAUACUAUCAAGAACUCCGAUUGCGUAGGCAGCUAACUAGGCUGUAACUGACGCUGAGGCACGAAAGCGUGGGGGAGCGAACAGG
rnacentral:rRNA from 1 species